rnacentral:piRNA from 1 species
UACUAGUUAAAACUAUGUGUAAAAGGAAA